rnacentral:lncRNA from 1 species
GGCCAGAUUAAUCCAUGUGAUGGAUUUGAAAGGUUGAAAUAUAAUGUGGUCAACUAUAUUAGGGUUGACAAUCAAACUCCAGAUCACCUUGAGCAUUUGGGUCAAAGGAAUGAAUUGUACGGUAGCCAUACGCUAGUAGGUUCUAGCAUGUUGCUUUGCAAUCUUUCAGCCUAUCUGAACAUCGGGUCCUAUUACUAGAUGGUUAUAUCGAUUAGUAUAAAAAUUUAUUCUUAUGCUAUCGGCUUAAGUUCGAACCUAUGGGGUCACAUACAUUAGA